rnacentral:rRNA from 1 species
GACGAACGCUGGCGGCGUGCUUAACACAUGCAAGUCGAACGGAAAGGCCCUGCUUUUGUGGGGUGCUCGAGUGGCGAACGGGUGAGUAACCCGUGAGUCACCUGCCCUUGACUUUGGAAUAACUUCAGGAAACUGGGUCUAAUACCGGAUAGGAGCUCCUGCUGGAUGGUGGGGGUUGGAAAGUUUCGGCGGGUGGGGAUGGACUCGCGGCUUAUCAGCUUGUUGGUGGGGUAGUGGCUUACCAAGGCUUUGACGGGUAGCUGGCCUGAGAGGGUGACCGGCCACAUUGGGACUGAGAGACGGCCCAGACACCUACGGGAGGCAGCAGGGGGGAAUAUUGCACAAUGGGCGGAAGCCUGAUGCAGCAACGCCGCGUGCGGGAUGACGGCCUUCGGGUGGUAAGCCGCUUUCGCCUGGGACGAAGCGUGAGUGACGGUAAUGGGUAAAGAAGCACCGGCUAACUACGUG